GACGAACGCUGGCGGCGUGCUUAACACAUGCAAGUCGAACGGAAAGGCCCUGCUUUUGUGGGGUGCUCGAGUGGCGAACGGGUGAGUAACACGUGAGUAACCUGCCCUUGACUUUGGGAUAACUUCAGGAAACUGGGGCUAAUACCGGAUAGGAGCUCCUGCUGCAUGGUGGGGGUUGGAAAGUUUCGGCGGUUGGGGAUGGACUCGCGGCUUAUCAGCUUGUUGGUGGGGUAGUGGCUUACCAAGGCUUUGACGGGUAGCCGGCCUGAGAGGGUGACCGGCCACAUUGGGACUGAGAUACGGCCCAGACUCCUACGGGAGGCAGCAGUGGGGAAUAUUGCACAAUGGGCGGAAGCCUGAUGCAGCAACGCCGCGUGCGGGAUGACGGCCUUCGGGUGGUAAACCGCUUUCGCUUGUGACGAAGCGUGAGUGACGGUAAUGGGUAAAGAAGCACCGGCUAACUACGU
rnacentral:rRNA from 1 species